UACAGGCGGGAUUCUGACUCCCCCAUACUGCUCAGAGAGUCGGUCAAACCAAACCGAGUAGUAAAGUGAAGGGUUCACCACCAGGCCGCAGCCUUUCAGUUAAUUACAAGCUAAAAAAAAAUUGUGUCAACAAAACGUGGAAAAGCAAAGUCGAAGCCAUGGGGUGGUCAAUUUAGAAAGAAGAAGGAAGAAUAAGAGGAGAAACGAGCCAAAGGUAAAGUUGCAAAUUAAUGAGAGCGUGUGAAAGACUGGGGAGCCACCUACUGUACAGCACGUCCUCAGUCACACAGGCCACCACACAAAUGACUUUGGACACUUCAGACCACCUGACAACCUGAGAAUGAAGCACUAGCCACUGACCUGCCUAGUUGACCUUCAGUUCUGACAGAUAGAAAGUUUCUGUUUGACAGAGGGACCAAUUAAGGUACCACGUAACAUUGUUUUUCUGAGGAAUGAGUGUAAUGGAAGAAGUUGACUACUUACUUCAGAAAGACAUUAGCUGGUGUAUAACUAAUGGCAAUGUAUAACUUAAUAUAUGCAGCCAUCCAUCUUCUAUGCUGCUUAUCCUCACGAGGGUUUUGGGGCAGUAUGCUGGAGCCUAUAUCGGCAGACUUCGGAUGAGAGGCGGGGUACACCCUGGACUGGGCGCCAGUCAAUCGCAGGGCACAUACUGUAUAGACAAACAAUCAUUCACACUCACAUUCGUACCGAUGGACAAUGUAGAGUCACCAAUUAACCUAACAUGCAUGUUUUUGGAAUGUGGGAGGAAACCUUCCACAUCUCCUGACUGUGUGGCCAAGAUGCUAACCACUCAGCCACCGUGCGGCCUAACUUAAUAUAGUUUUAAAUAAUAAUAA